rnacentral:lncRNA from 1 species
AUAGUUACUUGGGACAACAGUUUUAGCAGGGCUCUCUUUCUCCUUUCCUGAUCUCUCUGUUAAGCUGCCUGGCUCAUUUGAUAUCACAUCCAAAUUAUCAGCUGAUUGCUCUAUUGUUUUGGACAAUGCCCUGAAGCAUACCAAAAUGUGUCUGGAAUUGGUGGGUUCUUGGUCUUACUGACUUUAAGAAUGAAGUUGCGGACUUUUGCGGUGAUCCACCCUACCACAUAUUGUCUCCUAAUGGCCGUCCAGUUUAUCCUGGAGCCCUUGCAUGACACAGGCCUAUCGAAGCAUAGGAGAUGCCAAUAUUUUACCUCUUGGGUACUUUCUGUGUAGAAGAUUCAUAACAAGAACAAUACUUAUUCUGCAAUUCUUUAUAUAAAGCUCCAGAGGGAAGUGAGAAGGAUGUUCACUUGCUGGUGAGAGAAGGAGCUGGUUCCAUCCAUUACGCAGUCCCCUGGGAGCGCUAAAUGCAACUUUAUCUCAACGGGGAGUGGACGAUGAGCAGGACGUCGCUAGAGGGAAAGAGCCUCACUUCCCGUUUCCUUUGGCAGCGCCCUUUUCCCGACCUAAGGGAGCAGACCUUCGUUGGUUGGCGUGAGGACUGGCGGGAGAGGUUUUGUGCCAGGAUCCGCACUGUCUGGGGUGAACGCUCCUCACCUUUGACCUGAACCGCCAACUUCCCAUCCUCCACUUUUGGAGAGCGCGCCUGAUAGCUGCUGCCCACCUGGGCACUGACAUCCUCCUUCCGACCGGGUGCGGAGAAAGCACAAAGGAAGUAGACCAAGGAGACUGAAGGUGGUUAUGAAGACUGUGCAUCUCUGAGGACAUCUUAAACAAAGAUGACCCAAAUCUUUGAUCUUCAAAUAGUCGAUGUGAACUGCUUAACAAAAUGCCCUGGGAAAACUCUGUCUGAAACAAGCAGCUUGGGGGUUUGAUUUCAUUAGUUACUGGACAAGAACUGGAAUGGAGUGAAAAAUCUUCAUUCAUUUCUUGGUCAGAUGGAGAGAGGAGAAAAAAAGAAGUGGGUUUCCAUUCACUUCCAUUUUCUAACUGAUCAUUAGUUAGAGAACCUUUGGAAAGGUUUAGCUCAGUUUUUUCUUCCAACUUAUCAGGUUCCUCAAGAAAUUCACUGCCUUGAGAUGACUUUGAUAACCCAUCCAAAUCCAGUGACUUAAAACCGUUAUUACAAGGGCUCUUGCUGUUGUCUGACUCUGACAUCAUUGAAUCCAACUCAGAGAUUUUGUCAAGGUAAGCAGCAUCCAUCGAUGCUUCACUGGAUGUUCUUGUCCGGUUCAUUUCAAAAGAGCGAAUAGAAUUCAACCUUUUGGAUAAACAUAAGCCUGAUUUCUCACUCAAUUUUGAAGAUAUUUCUCCAACAGAAUUUGCUAUCGUGUUCCCCUCUGAACUUUCAAAAUCUAAGUUUUGGGCAUAGCUUGUGGAACAACAGUCCCAAAAUCCUGUCUUUGGGGAAGAAAAACAUUCUGAUUUCUUUUCAUUUUCACUUCUACUUAUAUCAUCUUCUGAAGAAUCUUUAUUAGAAACAUUUGAAGAAUCACAAAAAUCAUCAAACACCAAUUUUCUGAGAUGGUUUGAGUGCUUUUUGGAACCUCCUGCUUGGACCACAGAGCUCUCUCUAUUUUCUGGAGUACUGAGCUGAAGGCAACUAAGGGACAAAGGAGUACAAGGAGCUGGAAGAUCAUAAAGUUCUUCAUCUUUGUAGGGUACACAGUCACUUGGUUUAUUCCCCCAUUCUCUUUCCAAAUAAGUAUCCAUACUUGUAUCUGUCACAUCUAACAUUACUUCUACCUGUUCUUGAUAUAGGUCUUUGUUCUUAGAACAGUUAAGGUCUGCUUUGCUGGUACUUUCCUGCCUUGCAGAACUGGUGUCACACAGUCUGCUGCUGGAAGGCUUCGCUAGGUGAGAAGAACUGGAGGUGGAUGAGCCAGGCUGCUUUCUGGCACUAUCGCCUUGAUUCUUUGACACCACAUCCUCCUCACUGCCUUUGCUCCCUUUGCCAUCUGCAGAAAGUGCUGUCUGGCAAAUGGAAUUCAUAGCUUCUUUCUCUUCACUUGAAUUUUUUAGCUGUGCAACUUGAGAUUCUAGUUCCUCUAUAUACUUAUCACUUCGUUCCAGGGCUUUCUUGAGGCGAUUGGUUUCACGCUCAUACUGUUCUACUUUGGACUGAAGAGCAGCAACUGCAAACCUUCCAAACCUACAAAGAAUGGAAAGAUAGUUAAUCUUAUAACUCAAGCUUUUUUCUUUUCAAGGUUUGAGAGUGCAAACUGUCCCAGGCUAUUCUAAUUUCACCUAACAGUGACAUUUCAGACCACUCAAUGAGUAGGGCAAAUGCCAGAUGUAUAUUUUCAAAAAAUGGUUUCCCCACUUACAUAAUAAUAAACAUAUGAUAAUAAUAGC